rnacentral:lncRNA from 1 species
GAAUGUUGUAUCCACCAUUAGCUAUUCAUGGUUGGAACAUAAAAAAAAAAAUAGAGAUAAUUAGUAAGUGAUAAUCAUUUGACACGAACAAUUCAUAAGUUAGUUAUCAUUAUCCAUUCUAUUUACGGAGCUAUUUUGCUCUUGUUUGUCUUGUACGCCUGUUAUUCUUACCGUAGAACCACUGGAGAAUAUGGAGGGGAAUGGUCAGCAAGGUCAACAAGUAAGCCGCGAUCAACAGGGGCGGGGCGACCGUGGCCGUCAUCAACAAGCACGCGGUCGUCGUAGACGAGAUCAACAAGAUGUCGGCAAGGGUGGCAAAAAGCGGGAGUUGUUGCUGAACCGAAAAUCAAAUUCACCACAACAACAGUAUGGUUUAGGGUUUAAGUGUUUUUCAAUGCUUCUUUAUAGCAUUGUCUAUUUUACUAAUUACAGCUACCGCAACCAUCACGUCCCCCAUAGAAUACCUUCAUACACAGCUCCAUCUCUAAUAUAAUUAUGGGGGCAAUCAUUCAUUGAUUUAGGGAGGUCAAAAAUCAUCCCAAAAAAUAGUCAUGUUCUUAGGAAUAGGAUGCAUCAAGGAAGCAACAGAGAUAUUUUUAUGGGCUCUAGGUAUUUAUUUACAUAUUAUUAUAGAUCUCGAAUGCAUAAUGUGCGUUUUUUUACCCUAGUAUGUUGUUCCUACUACCUGAUUUCCUUUGUCUUAUUAUUUAGACAUAGUAGAGCCCUAAGUUUUCUGGAUUUUGCCCUAGGGAUAAAUGCUGUAAUUCUAAUGCAUUUUAUAAAAUUAACGGACAGUGGAAAAAAUCUGAAAGAUUAUGAAUAUGCAUUAUUCGGGCUUUCAAUUACAACUUGCAUGUCUCUACUUUUAUUUAAAAGUGAUCAGGAGACUGUAAUUGAAGGGAUUGAGAAUCCAUAGACCUUUUUUCAUUUUUAGGUGUAUCAUAUAUUUUCUCAUUAUUAGGGUUGCGAAUUAAAAUGGUACAUAUUAAAAAUAAAAACAUUAUGAUACACCUAAAAAUGAAAAGAAGAACAAAGUUUUGUGGAUUCACAAUCGCUUCAAUUACAUUCUCCUAAUGACUUCUAAAUAAAAAUAGAGAAAUGCAAGUUGUAAUUGAAAGAACGAAUAAUGCAUAUUCAUAACCUUAAAGAUUUUUUCCACCGUCCAUCAAUUUUAUAAAACGCACUGGAAUUACAGCAUAUAUCCCUAGGGCAAAAUCCAGAAAACUUAGGGCUCCACUAUGUCUCAAAAAUAAGACAUAGGAAAUCAGGUAGUAGGAACAACAUGCUAGGGUAAAAACACAAAUUAUGCAUUCGGGAUCUAUAAUAUUUUGUAAAUAAAGACCCAGAGCCUAUAAAAAUAUCGCUAUUGCUUCCCUGAUGCAUCUUAUUCCUAAGAACUUGACAAUCUUUGGGGUGAUUUUUUUACUUAAAUCGACAAAUGAUCUCCACCAUAAUUAUAUUCACAAAUCACAUAUUGAACUGUGGUACAAAGGUAAUCUAUAGGGGACGUGAUGGCCGCGAAAGCUAGAAUUAAUAAAAUAGAUGGUGCUAUAAAGAAGCAUUGAAAGACAUGGAAGCAUACUGUUGCGGUGGUGAAUUUGAUUUCCGGUUCAGCAACAGCUCCCACUUCUUGACCACUGCCGCCAAUAUCUUGUUCAGCAAUUGGUCCCCUUCUUGACCACUGUUGUCGACAUAUCAUAAAGGAUCCUGAAAGAGUCCGCAUACCAUUAAUCCUGUUAUUUUUGUGCUCUGCAUUUUUUUUUUUCACCACAACGACUUUAAAUUUCUUAUCACACUAGCAAAUCUUAUACAUAAAAUCUUAAAAUAAAUUACAAAUUAUUGAGUCUAGGAUCAACAGAAGCAAUUACGACAUUUCAGAUAUGGGAUAAAAUACAUUUUCAUAGUUGGAAAAUGAUGCUAAAGCCUCUUGUGUUUCAGAAGGAAGUAUAUCCUUGCAGUGAUGAGAGUUAGGAGGAAUUGAGAAGGGAGAGAGAGUGAGGCGUGAAGAUUGCAGAAUGAAUUGGGAAAAGAUGAGGGUCUCAAGGAAGUAUG